AUGAGCCGAGCUUCGCAAUCCCAUUCCCAUUCCCAGAUGAAGCUGCUGCUGUCCAUCCUACUCCUUGCAGCGGAGACCGGUCAUGAGCAGACGAUGGGCGCCAUUGCUGGACAGCAGCCGCCGAUCACGCGCGAGGGCUGCCCCGACAAGUGCGGCGAGACGAGCAUCCCCUUCCCGUUCGGCAUGGCGCGCGGCUGCUUCCGGCCGGGCUUCCAGGUCGUCUGCAACCACUCCUUCCGCCCUCCUCGCGCCUUCCUCGCUGACAACGGCGGAAGAACGUACCAGCGGAUGAUGGACCAGAACUACACGGGGCCGUCGUUCAGGCCUGGAGAGCCCUUGCGCCGGAACAAGGCGGUGGAGCUCAUCGACGUGUCGGUCGACAAGAGCGAGGCACGGAUAUACACCGCGGUCAGCUCCAUCUGCAGCACUAGCGGCACCCACGCGGUGGGCAGGUAUGCGUUCACCUACCUGGACAAGGCAGGGCCGUUCCUCGCCUCGCCAGUCCGCAACGUCCUCGUCGGCGUCGGAGCAAGAGUCGAGGCCACCAUGGUGAGCAGCUUCGGCGAGACGGAGAAGGCGAUGGCCUACCGGCCGUCCUGCCUCUCAGACCUCGUGGGCAACCUGCAGUUCACCACCGACGGGGAGUGCUCGGGGCGGGGCUGCUGCGUCGCCGUCUUGCCCCCGGAAGCGCCCCUCCUCACCAGGUUCGUGGCCGGGUUCAGGCCCCGCCACAGGAGGCCUGGGUGGGAAUCCAGCCCAUGCUCCUACGGCAUGGUGGUGCAGAGCUCCUGGUACAACUUCUCUACGCCGGAUCUGUACGGCUACGAGGCGCUAUCCGGCAGGCUCGCGAGGGGCGUGCCCGCCGUGCUCGAUUUCGCCAUCAGGAAAGGUAGGUGCCCGCCCGACGGCCAGCAGCCACCGGCGGGCUACGCUUGUGUCAGCGGCAACAGCUCUUGCUCCAACGAGGCAAGAGGCUAUGUCUGCAAGUGCUCGGAACAUUACCAUGGCAACCCCUACAUCACCAAUGGAUGCCAAGACGUCGACGAGUGCAAGUUGCGAAAACAGAGUCAUGAGCUCAGACUCUUGUAUCCUUGCUAUGAUGACGGGAUCUGCAGCAAUAGGGUGGGAGGCUAUGAUUGUCGCUGCAAACCCGGAAUGAAAGGCGCCGCUAUAAAAGGGCACUGUACGGAGAAAUUCCCCCUGCCAGCAAAAGUGGUUGUCGGCAUUGCUGCCUUCAUUGUUGUCUCAGUGCUCAUGGUUAUGUCCCAUCAACUCCUAAAACUCAAAAGGUUCUAUGAGCAAAAUGGCGGUCCAGUACUAAAAGGUGUGAAGAAUAUACGGAUCUACAGAAGGAAACAACUGAAACAAAUAACAAAUAACUACAGGCAUAUCAUUGGAGAGGGCCACUUUGGCAAGGUUUAUAUGGGGACUCUGGAAGACAAACAACAUGUGGCUAUAAAGAUCUCCAUCAAAGUCGACAAGGACAUGAAGAAGGAAUUCAUCGACGAGGUUAUAAUACAGUCCGGAAUGAGGCACAAGAACAUCGUCAGGCUCCUAGGCUGUUGCCUGGAGGUGGAUGCUCCAAUGUUGGUCUACGAGUAUGCAGCAAGGGGGAGUCUACAUGAUGUUCUGUUUGGAUUAAGGCGCAUAGAUAUCAUACCUGUGCAUACGCGCCUCGGCAUUGCUGUCGGGUCAGCCGAAGGCCUAGCAUACAUGCAUUCAGCAGUGGAGAGCACAAUACGCCAUGGCGAUGUUAAAUCUGCCAAUAUUCUUCUGGAUGAUAAAUUUAUUCCAAAGGUUUCAGACUUUGGAACGACAAGGCUGCUCGUGAGGGGAAAAUCUGUGAAGACCGAGCGUGUCGUUGGGGAUCUAAAUUACAUAGAUCCAAUAUAUAUGGAGCAUGGAGUUGUUACACAGAAGAGCGACGUCUACGGCUUCGGAGUUGUUCUCAUGGAACUGAUCACAAGGAGGCCCGCCAUACACGACGACCGAAGGAGCUAUGUUGCAAGCUUUGUUCAAGCUUCUCUUGAUAAACAAGCAAGGAACUUUUUUGAUCAGGCUAUUACAAGCGAGGGGGACAUUAAGCUCCUGGAAAUGGUCGGCGAGGUCGCUGUGGAGUGUCUCAAACCUAAUCCAGAAGAACGCCUAGAUAUGAAACAAGUAGAACAAUGCCUCGUCCAAAUUAUGGGACAGUCCGCACAACAUGCUCAGGAGACAAGCUAUCAUGGAGAUCUUAGUCCUGCACCGGAUGAUAUUCCCUUGCUCAAGGAGACAAGGAUUGCAAGAAUGCAGUAA
rnacentral:rRNA from 1 species